AGAUGUUUUCGACUUUUCUUGUUUUGCAACUUGAACUUUUAUCAUUUGAGUUUUCAUUAGGUUUCAUUUUGUUUAAGCUUUUUUCUCAAACUUAUCUGGGACGUCGUGUUGAACUUACAAUUUUUUUAAUUGUGAACUUGCUGUGUUUUUGCAAUGCCAAUAUUGAGGAGAGCAGUGCGAGAACAACGAUAGAAGGAAGUUGCAUGUGGUGAUCCUGGAAGCACUACAGGGCUAAGCCACAACGGUGGUUGAUGGCAAGGUGGCACGACACGACAUGCGGCGGAGAGGCAUGGCGACGGGUGGGCGGCGCACUGACAUGACACUUGAGAUGCGCCUGCUGGACUGACCUCCUUGUCCCAUCUGGACACGACAUGCAGCGGAGAGGCAUGGCAACGGGUGGGCGGCGCACUGACAUGACACUUGAGAUGCGCCUGCUGGACUGACCUCCUUGUCCCAUCUGGACGGAUCAGUUGCAGAACUUGGACGUUUUCUUGGACGUGAACUCUUGAACGUCAACGUCACAGAAUACCAAAACCUAACCAUCUUCUUUUUCAAACUGAUCAUUGUUUUAAUUCGUACGGGUCAAUAUUUUUGAUUCAAACCAGUUUUUAUUCUUGUAUGCACAUCAAGCUGUCAUGUACUAUACCUUCUUUGAAGAAGUAGCAAUCAUCUCAUCAUAUAAAUAAAUUUUUUCAUACAUAUAAUACAUGUACAUGAAUAACAUAUACACAACUCCGACAAUUUUCAUACAUGAAUGACAUAUACACCACACCGACUGCACAUUUUCUUGCUAUUAGAAACCUCUUCAGAUUUAAUGGUUUGUACUGGGCAUAACAAAUUAACCAAAAACCGAAUUAUGAAGGACAAAGUUCUUGAAUUACAGGCCAAAAAACAAGCAAACAAAGGAUAAAUAGAGGAUUGACAGGGUCUAAGAGAGAUCAAUUGCAAUACACUUUCUUUCCAUUUUUCACUAAGUAAUAGCAUGACUGGAUAAGAAGUUCAAAACUGGAGCAGUUUUUCCUUUCAGUAUCGUUGGGCACGAGCUCCUUGAGGAAGCUUGCGUGGUCAGUAGCACGUUGGUCGUGCAAUUGUGUCGACGUGGAGGAGCCACCUCCAGGUCAGCCCUCAACAGGGUAGCUUCUCUGCACUACAACAAAUCAAAAGUAGCAAAUGUACAUAUUUUGGACAUACAAGCAUAAUUUCAUUAGUAUAUAUUCUCACCUUAUCCUCCAGUGCCUAUUUUGUGUUAUAUGAAGAUGGAAAACAUGAAGGCAAUUGUACUUACGAUUUGGAAUUAGAUGUACUGAAUAGCAUACAUAAGAUGGACUGAAAAAAUUGAACUAGCACAACCAUUUUUCCUUUUGACAAUCUUUUGAACUAACUCACAACCAUUUUUCCUUUUGACAAUCUUUUGAACUAGCUCUACGACAAUUUUUUGAACUUACGUAUGUAGACGAAGUGAACUUUUCGACACAUAUCUUUCGUCUGUAACCAUACCCAACUCACACCCUCCUUGAUAUUGUGUUGAACUACUGUUGCAUUUUUUUAUACGGUGAACUUUUUUAUAUAAAAAAUACUGACUACUGUUUUCUAAUUUACAAAAUGACAAGAACAGAGCAAUACAAACAAUCAAUACGAGGAGGAAUCUCUAGAUGAAUAAGAACAGAGCAUCAAGAAGAUUCAUCAAAUUCAUACCAAAAAUAUGAGGAGGGGUCACGGUACACCAACCAAUAGGCUAUGCGGGAGGAGGGCACCACCUACGGUGGGAGGAGGGCGCGACCUGCAGUUUCAGUGGUAUAUGCCUAAUAUAAUUGGAAGGUAGAUGAUCAGCCAGUGUCGGCCUCCAAGGCCAACAACCUUCUUGACAACAUACUGUAGGCCGACCGACAUGGACUUUGUUGGGUUUAAAAUUUUUAUUCAUGCACUAUUAGGCGUGCCCAUUUUGAACUUACAAAGUUUUCUAUACUCAUCUGAACCUACAAAGUUUUCCUAUAGCCAUUUUGAACUUACAAAGUUUUUCUUGACGAACUUUCAUGUGGUUUGUUUACAAGGAACUUUCAUAAGGGAACUUCUCACGCAAUUGCACAUGUACCGGUUAUAUUUUCUCCCGAAGCCAGAAUGGUUUUCAUAUGUUUUCGUACACUAUGGUGAUGACUAUAAACAGCGGGUGAGCACCAAGACAGCUUCAACAUGGGAUCCCUUUCCCUAAGAGGAAGCAAUAGGAAUUAUUGCUUAGAAAAUAAGCAAGAGCAAGUACGUAGAAGAGUAACAAGAGUUGUAC
rnacentral:lncRNA from 1 species